CGGGGUGACGGUACCUGCAGAAGAAGCGCCGGCUAACUACGUGCCAGCAGCCGCGGUAAUACGUAGGGCGCAAGCGUUGUCCGGAAUUAUUGGGCGUAAAGAGCUCGUAGGCGGUCUGUCGCGUCUGCUGUGAAAACGCGGGGCUCAACCCCGCGCCUGCAGUGGGUACGGGCAGACUAGAGUGCGGUAGGGGAGACUGGAAUUCCUGGUGUAGCGGUGGAAUGCGCAGAUAUCAGGAGGAACACCGGUGGCGAAGGCGGGUCUCUGGGCCGUUACUGACGCUGAGGAGCGAAAGCAUGGGGAGCGAACAGGAUUAGAUACCCUGGUAGUCCAUGCCGUAAACGUUGGGCACUAGGUGUGGGGCCCAUUCCACGGGUUCCGUGCCGCAGCUAACGCAUUAAGUGCCCCGCCUGGGGAGUACGGCCGCAAGGCUAAAACUCAAAGGAAUUGACGGGGGCCCGCACAAGCGGCGGAGCAUGCGGAUUAAUUCGAUGCAACGCGAAGAACCUUACCAAGGCUUGACAUACACCGGAAACGUCCAGAGAUGGGCGCCCCGCAAGGUCGGUGUACAGGUGGUGCAUGGUUGUCGUCAGCUCGUGUCGUGAGAUGUUGGGUUAAGUCCCGCAACGAGCGCAACCCUUGUCCUGUGUUGCCAGCGGGUUAUGCCGGGGACUCAUGGGAGACUGCCGGGGUCAACUCGGAGGAAGGUGGGGAUGACGUCAAAUCAUCAUGCCCCUUAUGUCUUGGGCUUCACGCAUGCUACAAUGGCCGGUACAAAGGGCUGCGAUGCCGUAAGGUGGAGCGAAUCCCAAAAAGCCGGUCUCAGUUCGGAUUGGGGUCUGCAACUCGACCCCAUGAAGUCGGAGUCGCUAGUAAUCGCAGAUCAGCAAUGGUGCCACGAAAACGUUAUAGAGCUUUCUCCACUCCCCCUAAAUCGUCACAAAAUAACCCUAUAGUUUGAUCCCGGCUCACGAUAAGUCGUAACAAGG
rnacentral:rRNA from 1 species